GGAUUAGAUACCCUGGUAGUCCACGCAGUAAACGGUGAACACUAGGUGUAGCGGGUAUUGAGCCCUGCUGUGCCGCAGCUAACGCAUUAAGUGUUCCGCCUGGGAAGUACGGCCGCAAGGUUAAAACUCAAAGGAAUUGACGGGGGCCCGCACAAGCGGUGGAGCAUGUGGUUUAAUUCGACGCAACGCGAAGAACCUUACCUGGGUUUGACAUCCCGGGAAUCUCUUGGAAACUUGAGAGUGCCCUUCGGGGAGCCCGGUGACAGGUGCUGCAUGGCUGUCGUCAGCUCGUGCCG
rnacentral:rRNA from 1 species